GAUGAACGCUGGCGGCGUGCUUAACACAUGCAAGUCGAACGGGAUCCAUCAGGCUUUGCUUGGUGGUGAGAGUGGCGAACGGGUGAGUAAUGCGUGACCGACCUGCCCCAUACACCGGAAUAGCUCCUGGAAACGGGUGGUAAUGCCGGAUGCUCCGACUCCUCGCAUGGGGUGUCGGGAAAGAUUUCAUCGGUAUGGGAUGGGGUCGCGUCCUAUCAGGUAGUCGGCGGGGUAACGGCCCACCGAGCCUACGACGGGUAGCCGGCCUGAGAGGGCGACCGGCCACAUUGGGACUGAGAUACGGCCCAGACUCCUACGGGAGGCAGCAGUGGGGAAUAUUGCACAAUGGGCGCAAGCCUGAUGCAGCGACGCCGCGUGCGGGACGGAGGCCUUCGGGUCGUAAACCGCUUUCAGCAGGGAAGAGUCAAGACUGUAC
rnacentral:rRNA from 1 species